rnacentral:rRNA from 1 species
AACUAUUAGACUUGAGUACGAUAGGGGUAAGAGGAAUUCUUCGAGAAGUAGUGAAAUGCGAAGAUACGAAGGAGAAGAUCAUAAGCGAAGGCUUCUUACUGGGUCGUAACUGACACUGAGAGACGAAAGCUAGGGGAGCGAAUGGGAUUAGAUACCCCAGUAGUCCUAGCUGUAAACGAUGGAUAUUCGGUGCCGGAAAUUUUAUUAGAACAUUUCGGUACCCUAGCUAACGCGUUAAAUAUCCCGCCUGAGGAGUACGCUCGCAAGGGUGAAACUCAAAGGAAUUGACGGGGGCUCGCACAAGCGGUGGAGCAUGUGGUUUAAUUCGAUGCAAAGCGAAGAACCUUACCAGGGCUUGACAGUAUGUAUAAAAGUCUUAAUGGACUAUUUUAUAAAAUACAUAUACAGGUGGUGCAUGGCUGUCGUCAGCUCGUGUCGUGAGGUGUUGGGUUAAGUCCCGCAACGAGCGCAACCCUUGUUCGGAGUUAUAAGUAAUAUUAUUCUUCGAAAACUGCCUAAACAUAAUAAUGUAGGAGGAAGGCGAGGAUGACGUCAAGUCAUUAUGCCCCUUAUGCUCUGGGCUACACACGUGCUACAAUGGGAGGUACAAUAAAAAGGUCUCUUCGUAAGAAGAGGUGAAAUAAAAUAAACCCUCUCUUAGUUCGGAUCGUAGACUGCAACUCGUUUACGUGAAGUUGGAAUCGCUAGUAAUCGCCGGUCAGACAUACGGCGGUGAAUAUGUUCUCGAGCCUUGUACACACCGCCCGUCACGCCACGGGAAUUAAUCUCUCUGGAAAUCUUUGUUAAGAGAUGAUGGAAAGAUCGAUAACUGGGGUGAAGUCGUAACAAGGUAAC